GGAAGUGCCGCAGCUGCAUUGAUGACGGCAUCACCACAGCACCACCGCCGCCGCCUGCGCCGCCAGCCAAGGAGGAGGAGCCGCCCAAGCCUGCAUCAACUGAAGGAUCAAAGAGGUGAGAGACGGUGAGCAUAAUCUUGGUUUGGGUGAAGCAAUAGAUACGUCGAAGUAACACAAGAUCUUAGCAAGAUUCUUCUUGAUGAUUUUCCCAACGACGAAAAUUAGCAAAAUGUAACAAAAUAGGUUUUGUACGUCUCGUUACAAGCUUAUACUCUUCAAAUUUUAUUUUUUUAACUUUUUUGUUAUUAUUUUUUUUUUGUUCGAGGCAGGCAUAAUUUGGUUUAAUACAGAGAAGAAAAAUCUAACAAAACACGAUAUACAGAAAAUUUAUGUACUAAACGACAAGGUUUCAUUACGCUAAUUACGAUUAAUCAAGAAAAGGGAAAGUAGCAAGUUGCAUUAAAUACAAAACAGAGUUGUCGGAUACUUACUACAGUGCAGUCGCACGAUCCCAAAAUGCUAAUUAUCAAAUCGUAGAUUUUCCAGGUAGGUGUACGAUUAAAGUACUUCUUGCUGUAAAUCAAGAUCAAGUUCAGAUCGUAAAUGAAUAAAAUUGAGCUACGCUGACCAAUCGCAAACACGUAACAGCCAGACUUCUCGGCAACGCAACCUCAUUAAAAGAAAAAUAUUAUCAAUUGGAAAAAGCUAGUUAGCAUGCCAUAACAAAUCAUUUACCUGUCACUUACACGUAAUCGUCACAUUUACGUUUACGACUACGUCAUGAAAGCUUACAUAUACAGGCUCUGUGAUUCGCGCCAAAAGUCGAGUCUGGAAAAAACAUUUUAUCGUGCAGAGAUUAUCGAUCCUACAAAGUACGGCAAUUAAGGAUAGUGAAAUCUAGCCAUAUCUACAUGCUUCAAAUACCUCCUAAAUCAAUUUCAGGUUGCUUCUAAAAACACAUAUACGCAGAGUACAUCAUCAGCAAACAAAAUCACAGACAAAAUCAAACUAAUCAGAGAAACCGAGGAAAAAUAAUCAACACCCUACUAAAAUUAGGGUUCAAAGAUUCAAACUUUCUAAGCAGCAGUACAAAUAGAAGGUCAAAUGGAAGAAAACCAAAGUAAAUCGAAUCUCACGCAGCUCGAUCCAAAAAAAUAAUAAUUUAGCAUGACUGAACCAAAAUUGAGAAGAAAUUCAAUUAGGGAUCUGAGAAGGCAGGAAGUGAACUUGAUCUUUCAAAAAUCGUGCGAAAUUUCAAGUAUUUGGAGAAGAUGAUUCCGAAACCCUAAUUUUGAAAAAAAAGUACCAAAAUUAAAAUAGGGUUAACCGGAAUCGCUGAGCUCAGUGAGUCUCCGGCGAGUCACCGGUCGAAUAUCUGCUCCAGACGAGAAGCGGUUUGGUGACCGCCGGUCACUAUUUCGCGCCAUCGAAGGAGAAUGACAAGCCUGACAAAUAAGACUCGGCCUUCCUUGAAGAUAAAGUGGAAAGAAGUAAGCUUUGCUAUUUUACUAGUCUUUCUAUUUUAUUGCGUGUACCCUUUCCACUAUCAAGGAAGGAAGGUUGGUUUUCGGACGGACGCCAUGAAAGACGUAUCUGUCAAGCUUGAAAUUCUCCUUCGA
rnacentral:lncRNA from 1 species